GGACACUUUGGUGAGGCCCAUCUGUGUGUGUGUCUUCCACAAAGCGUAAGGCAUCAUUGCCCGUCUGUAAUUCCUGUUAAAGAUGAUUGAUACGUUGUCAGAGCUCAGCUCAGAUACCUCCCACCUGUGGGAACUUGUGUUCAGUCGAGGAAUGCUGUGAACUGUCAGCUCCUUUCUUCUUUUCUGGGAAUACUUUAAGGCUGGUGAUAAAAAAAAGGAUGAUAUACCUCUCAAACAUGGAGGUUCACCGCUCUGAAGCCUUUAAAUACAAUCUCGAGAACAAGCACCCUCAACUAAACAAGUCUCUACUUGGAAAAGAUCCAAGUCUUCCCCACAGAACAAGGCUCGUCUAAACAAAGUCAGGUAAGAAAGUAUGACAUAUUCCACACCAAAUCUGUAAAUUACCUCAGAAUGAACCUUAUUGGCAAAGUGGAUUUUGGCCAAGUUAUCAAGUGUGUACAUCAGAGAUUACGGUCAUCAAGACUGUCAAAGACCUUGAUUAUCACGCAGCAGAAGUAGAAAUGCUGGAAAAACCCCGUUGGUCUAGAGGAAAAACCACUUGGUCAGAUUCAUACAGUUUCAUAAUCAAUGCCAUGGAUUGCCCUGUCUUUGAGAUGCUUGACAAGAGCCUUCAGAUUUGGUGGUAUAGAGACGAGCACUAUUGACUCUUAAUGAAAUCCGUCCAAUAACUCGUCAACCACCAAGAUGAGACCUUCAGGGUAAAAUGAAUUACUUCAUUAGGGCCAUUCCAGCCUCUGAAGUAAGGGAAGGGAUGAUUACACAGACACGUGAAUACCAAGCACCAGAGGUGACCUUGGGCUUCCCCAUAUCGGUGUUGGGUCUGUCUGUGUUUUGUUUUUUCUCCCUCCUGGUUGUCAGCUGGUCUUGAUGGGGUCGUCGGGCAGUUCCUGCCACCUGCUGCUUAUCUUCAGGAUUGCCUCCACCCACCUCCAGUAUUUAAGCCGGCCUGAUCUACCAGUCUUCGCCAGUUCGUCAGAUACUCCUGCGUUUUUUCCCUGUGUCCUGGUCCUCGGCUUUGAUUGCCUCGUCUCCCUGCCUCGCCAGUUCCUGUCCGGAGCUCCUGCAUCCAGCCUCCCAAUUUCUAUCUUCAUCAACCUGUUUAAAUAAACUUCUGUACCGAAGAGGUCGGCUUGUGAGUCCAGUUAUUCGAAAGAAACCUAACAAUCGGAGGCCAUUGACAUGAGUGCACUGGGAUGUGUCUUGGCAUUCCAGUUUUUUGGCCGGGACAUCUUCAAUGGAAAAUCAACAUACGAUGUAAUGAAAACGGUUUGCUGUCUACUUGGUCAGCCACAAGACCACCUGCUGAAAAAACAGACCUG
ensembl:lncRNA